GACCCUCUGGCCCAAUGGUAGCGCUGAAUCCUGAAAGUUUGUAUAGCCCCGUCGCAUCCUGUGGUGAGGCACCCGGUUCGAAUCCGGGGUGCGUCG